rnacentral:misc_RNA from 1 species
AACCUUAUGGACCUGCGGGCGUAUACCUGCGGAGGGAUCAUUACUGUAAGAUAAAAGGGUUUUGAGACUGCAUAUAUAAAUAUAUGUGUGCUCGACUCUUAUUCUUUCAAUCCACAUACACCUUUUGUGCACUUAUGGGACGGUAGAGUCCCCUUUCUUUACAUAAACACGUAGUUAUAUAUGCAUGUGUUUUAAUACUCUACGGAGUAAUAUACAACUUUCAACAACGGAUCUCAGAUC